rnacentral:rRNA from 1 species
UAGCAGAGGUCUCAAGCGUUGUUCGGAUUACUUGGGCGUAAAGGGUGCGUAGGCGGCGCGGUAAGUCGGGUGUGAAAUCUUGGAGCUUAACUCCGAAACUGCAUUCGAUACUGCCGUGCUUGAGGACUGGAGAGGAGACUGGAAUUUACGGUGUAGCGGUGAAAUGCGUAGAUAUCGUAAGGAAGACCAGUGGCGAAGGCGGGU